GAUGAAGAACGUAGCGAAAUGCGAUAAGUAAUGUGAAUUGCAGAAUUCAGUGAAUCAUCGAAUCUUUGAACUCACAUUGCGCCCGCCAGUAUUCUGGCGGGCAUGCCUGUUCGAGCGUCAUUUCAACCCUCAAGACCCCUUCGGGGGACUUGGUGUUGGGGACCGGCUGUUCCCGGCCUGCUUCUUGCAGCGCCUUUAUGCCGCCCCCGAAAUGAAUUGGCGGCCUCGUCGCGGCCUCCCCUGCGUAGUAGCACAACCUCGCAACGGGAACGUGACGGCGGCCACUGCCGUAAAACAACCCAAUUUUAUUAGAGUUGACCUCGAAUCAGGUAGGAAUACCCGCUGAACUUAAGCAUAUCAAUAAGCGGAGGA
rnacentral:misc_RNA from 1 species